GUUCAUAUCGAAAAUUUAAAAAGAGUGAUUAAUCAAGAGAAAGGGUUUUAGAUUAUGAUGAUCUUCUGUUAAUAACAAAAAAGCAGUAUAUAGUGUUUAUGAUAAUAUUGGAUUGGCAAUGAUGAUGAUUUUUGUUGAGGAUGCUAAUUAUCAACAUGAUGAUGGACUUGAUGGAGAAUUGAUUUUAAUCAACUAUUAGAUUAAGUCGAUUCAAAGGAUGAACCAGUGGAUUAUGGAUUGUAAGGUAGGCGUGGAUUGUCAUCAAUUCAGUUUCAGUAUUAAGAAGAAAAGACACGUGAAGAUAUUCGAUUCUGUAGCGUAAAGUUUUAGCAAAUUGAAGAUGUUUAUUUAUAUUUUAUAUAUGUAUUC